rnacentral:lncRNA from 1 species
UUAUAUCAAAAUUUAGGGAUUAAACGAGUAUUUACCCAAUCAAUUACACUCAUAAUUUAUAAUGUUGAUAUUUGAGAUUAAUUACACUCAUAAGAGGCCAACUAUAAUGAAAGGGCACUGCUAUACCAACAAAUUUUAGUAACAUUGUAAAAAUGGCAAUAAGAUAGCCUGGAACAGCUAAUAGGUACAAAGAAAAUUAGCAAUAAUCAAUUGGCGAGAGCAUCAUCAUCAUCAUCAUCAUCAUAAGUUUAUGGCUACCCCAAAAACUGAUGUGGAACCCCAAAGAAAUAACUUGGUUGAAGCAUUCCGAAAACUUAAUUGGCUUGAAAAUUAAAAGGAUCUUUCUCUAGUUGCGGCGUUGAACUAAAAACGGCUUGAAUGUUAUCAAUACUCCAAUUGCCUAACCACGUUUAAAAUGAAGAAAACCACUGGGAACCUGAACUCAAACUACUGGCAUAAAAUAAUAGCAUUGGUAGGACCUAGCUGGCAUUACAAUUGAAAAACUACUGGAAUAAAAUAAUUUUUGGCGAGUGGAAGAGUAUUUAUGCUUUCAGUAAAAACUAAUGAAUAAAUAAAUAUUGGAUCGACAACUAUAAAUAUCUUGAACAAAAAGAAUAGAACACAGAAGAAAAGCAAAAGCACCAUCUGCAUAAAGAACCAAGAAUAACAACUGAAUCUCUCUACUUUUAUUAAUUAAUAACAACCAAAUUUAGAUAGAAAAAAAAAACAAUAAGUUUUCUGCAUCAUAAAAAGUAGACCCGAAUGAGGCAAUUCAUCAAGCACUAAACCUGCAUUCGAAACACAAACGAAUAACACUUAAGAGAAAGCGGAUUUCAAAUCAAAAAGUAAAUACAUAAAAUCAACAUUUAAUUCGCCAGUACACCUAAAUUACUCUAGAAAUUCAAAUUUAUUGCUAAUUAAACACUAUAAAAUAUAAAAAAAAAAAAAUCUAAAAACAAAAAUAUGUCGACAAUCAAAUCAAAAUCAAUACCUCUAAUUCGAUUCCAAGAGUCUCAGGCACGGGUCGCACGAUAGAGUGAACGAGCUUGCUAAUUGUUCUGCCUCUAUUUACAAGCUUAACUAUUCUUUUGCUCAAGUCAAUGUGACCUUUUAGCUUGUCACACAGACCAUGACGGCUCGACGCGGCUGACUUUGAUGAUGCUAAGAAUACGACUCUAUAAGAUCUCCAAGAAAAUGAUAAAUCCUUUUGAAGUUGUUGUGCUUGAGAAGGCGAGCAUUUAGGGUUUAGACUUUGAUGAAGUCGAAAGAAAAAACUACAAAAAUUGAGAAAGAGAGAGUGUGUUUUGACCUAGAGCUUCGAUCUUCAACUCAACUGUUUUGCUUCUGGUUCGAUCUAUCAUUAUUCAUUAAGAGGCUAGAGAGGUUGAGCUGCUUGAUCUGUUUCUGCUUUUGGUUUUGGCCUUUGUUUUAUUUUGGUAUUUUGUUUUGUUGAGAUACUGUGUCAGGAAAGAGAGGGAAACGAUUUUGUGAAGAAAGAGAAGAUGAAGACUUAAU